GACGAACGCUGGCGGCGUGCCUAAUACAUGCAAGUCGAACGCAGUGGGGACGGGUGAGUAACACGUCGUUAACCUCCCAUCAGAGGGGAUAACACUUGGAAACAGGUGCUAAACCGUUACUGAUGGAUGGACCCGCGAUGCAUUAGCUAGUGGGGGAGGUAACGGCUCACCAAGGCCACGAUGCAUAGCGUACGGGUGAGGGUGAGCAGCCCCACUGCGUCUGAGACACGGCCCAGACUCAAACGGGACGCAGCAGAAGAGAGUCUAAGACAAUGGAAGAAGGUCUGACCGGGAAAAGCCAAGUGGCGGAAGGGGUUUUUGGUAUAGGAGAAGUCUGUUGUUAGUGAAGCGGUAUCUAAUCAGAAAGCCACGGCUAACUACGUGCCAGCAGCCGCGGUAAUUC
rnacentral:rRNA from 1 species